CAAGAUCGUUCAUUGUUGCUCCGACAGUGCUACGCAUUGAACUGCACGAUGAAAUUGAUCAUUGUCGUUUGCAGUUUUCUUGCACUCCUAGCUUCAGGGGCGUUUGGCCUCAGUGGCAAUGUGUGUCAUCGUCAAGCCAGCUUUACCAUUCUCUGGAAAUAUUGCAAAUUCCAUUUUAUCGGGUGCUGGUCCUGGGGGGUCAGUACGCAUACGUCAUAUUACACGAAGUCAUAUUGCUGCAGUGGCAAUGUUGAACAGUCUGGACUUUGUAUAC